CGCCUCCUUAGUAAUCACCGUGCUCUCUUCUCCCUUCUUAAUUCGCUCUCGCUCUAUAAUAUCUCGUUUAUUAAGUGCUACCUUUUAGCAUGGAGCUGCAAUGGUUGAAUAAACUGGAGACAAGCAGGAUCUCUCGAGUUGUCUCUCAUGUCUAGACCAUUUGUGAGAAGGGAUUUACUGUUUGCACCAUUCACCUCACCAAUCUCUAAAUCUGCAAUUAGUAUUAUGCUCAUUCAAGAAAAUUAGCAUCUAGAAAGUUGGUACAUAAAGUGCAUUUAUGACUUUUGCUGAUGCUGUACACAUAUUUUUUUUUUUUGUAGAAUCAGUUCAUGACAAUUUUCCAAAUCAUAUACAGUUUUGGACAUACAUUUUGCCUAAGAAAUGUCAAACUUCUGUCUGGAGUGUUAGAAGGUUUUCAUGAUAGCUCAGAAUUUUAUAGCUUGCCCUACUUAAUUAGCUACAUUAGUUCACUUGUUAAGAAGUUGGGAAGUGGGGGGAGGUGCUGGGUUUCCCUUCUCAUCGAUGGUCUAGAUGUGCGAGGUGACUCUCAUAGUGUUAAAGAGAAACGGUAUAAGUGAGUGGUCACAACAAGCCUCCACAUGCAACAUUAGUAUUUCCUGAAAAGGUUGAUACAUCAUGCCACUUUUCAAACUUAACGUAAAAGAUAGAUGCAGAAGCAAGUAGCACUGAUUUUAUUGCAAGAACUAAAGAAGCCAGGCAAAAGAAGAAGAAGCAAAGUGUGUUUUAUUGGAGGAUAAGGACGUUGAAGGAUAAGGACAUAUACUUAGAUAUGUUUAACUAAUGUGAUAAGGAUGUAAUUAGAAGAAUAUACCCUAAAGUCGGUUAAGAUCUUUGUAAUAUAUAUACUCUUGUAACGUGAUGAAUAGAGGCAACCU